rnacentral:rRNA from 1 species
GACGGGGGAUGCAAGCGUUAUCCGGAAUCACUGGGCGUAAAGCGCAUGUAGGCGGCCGAACAAGUCAGGUGUGAAAUCCUCGGGCUUAACCUGGGAAGUGCACUUGAUACUGUCCGGCUAGAGUUUGGCAGAGGAAAGUAGAAUUCCCGGUGUAGCGGUGAAAUGCGUAGAUAUCGGGAGGAAUACCAGUGGCGAAGGCGGCUUUCUGGGCCAAUACUGACGCUGAGGCGCGAAAGCGUGGGGAGCAAACAGG